GAUUUUCAACGGUUAACAUCUUAGUUCUUACUUUGCAUGAAUUAUUGAAUCCAUAACGAUAUAUCGUUGGAACACGCAUACAAAGGGGGCUUUCUAGCUGCUAAUUAGGGCGGAGACCACCAAGGUACACCAAGCUCAUUCAUGCACUGGAACUCUUGUAUCAGGGCUUUUGCCAGGCAUCACCCAAGCCCUCUUUGGUUUUCUCCGCAUCUUCAAUAUACAGCUUGGUGGGUUCCGGUUAUCUUGAUUAUCCCAUUAAAAGUAUAAUAUAUCUAUAUAUUAUAUGCAUCGCUAAAUAAACCUUAAGAAAAACUAUCGAUGCUUAAUUAUCAUGUUCACUCACAAGUGAGCAGUGUGUGUAGCUUCCAAGCUUUGUUGAGGAGAGAUCAGAACAGAAUGAAGUGUGUGAUAUUCUGUGUAUCCGGGAGAUAUUAUAGGCUCCUCUGUAAUAAAUAAGGUCUCUGUGAUUGUAAUUUAUCUACAAGGUUAUAUGCUUUGCUUAUAUAAUUUGCUAUUACCUCCGUCCA